CAAUAACAAAGGUGGUAGGCCCACAUCCGUGAUGAGCCCUAGAGAUCGCUAUUUAAGCAGCACUGUACAGCAAGAUUGGCCCCUCUCCCCAGUGAGCCCUACACAUCCUGUGGGAGGUUCUUUAAGCAGCAGCACUGGACAUCAAGGUGCUAGGUUUGGACACAACACUGGGCAUGGCACUGCACACAGAAACACUAAUAUCAGCUCCCACUUGUCCUGGAAGAGGUAAGCAUCAACAUCAAUGAGGUCAAUGAGGAUGGCAUCAUCUGCAUACGUGAAAGCCUGAAUUGAGUGGUGGUGCGACCUCAAGUCAUCAAUGUAUCGAGAGAGAGAGAGAGAAGAUGACUAACCACCUUGUUGUGAUGUCCGGGGUCUAAGAGCAUGGCCAUAUAUCAUUGGCUGCAGGGAGAUGUCCAAAUCACCAGUACACUUGUUGCAUAGCAACCAUACUGUAUACCUUGUCAAUUCUAAUGGGAAUAUUGUGGAACAGAGCAAACUGAAAUGCAAUGAAUUAAGCUCUGAAAUGUAAGAAUUGUGUAUAUAAACGUUUUUGGCAAUUUUUUUAUAAAGGCAGCAAGACUCCUGUUUGUGGGGUUGGUUACAGAUGGUAUGUCCAAACCACAGCUAUGGCAAUACCAACCGUUACCAUGCCCACUAGUCUUCAAAAAAGGGAAAUUCUUGUGAAUGCAUACAUGCAAAGAAAUACUUUAAUUCUGGUCACUAUGGUCUAAAUUGUUCUUGAAUUUACUCUGUUUUUUUAUGGCGUUUGAAACAAAUUCAUGUUACAGUUGUUACUGUCCGAUCAUACAUGCCAAUGCUAAUUAGUUGUCUCUGAAUGUUUUAGACUGCAAUGAUUCUUUCAAUGAUUCCAUAUAUUUGUAUUCAUUUUUCCUUGUUUUGUCUGAUAUAGGCCUACUGUAUAUCUCGUAUCUCUGUAUUCCAUGUAGGCCAUGCACCCUAAUGAUUUUACCCUCCAUUGUCACAAAUAGGAAGGACACAUGGAUUUAUUUUAAAAUGACUGUA